GACAGAGGUGCCGAGCGUUAGGCGGAAUCACUGGGCUUAAAGCGUGUGUAGGCGGGCGGGCAAGUACCUUGUGAAAUCCCACGGCUCAACCGUGGAACGGCUGGGUAUACUGCCUGUCUUGAGCCAACUAGGGGCGAGCGGAACAGACGGUGGAGCGGUGAAAUGCGUAGAUAUCGCUUGGAACGCCAACGGUGAAAACAGGUUGCUGGGGGUGUGCUGACGCUGAGACACGAAAGCCAGGGGAGCGAACGGG
rnacentral:rRNA from 1 species